GACUUGAAUCUUGCACACCAUGUCAUUAAACUUUUGCUUCAACUCACCAUUUUGGUCCAUAAAUAAAUGCUUUACACCCACAACAUAAAAACGACCAAAAGACUAAAGAAGAGAUCCUUCCACCAUGGAUUUAAAACACAAGAAAUAUGAUAGAUUCACCAAUUAAAUACAUGAAUCUCACACAUGUUUAUUUCUUGUGUCCAUGAAUGAUAAACUGAAUCUAGACAAAAAUUUUCAAAAAAAACAAAUAGCAUCUUACAAAAACUCAGAGUGAAUAAGGAGAAUCAAAACCAAAUAGCCAAGAUCAACAAUACAAUAUUCUUUAUAAAAAAGAAUACCCAACUUUAAGUGAAGGCAACAUGCAAAUUCAGAGGCUCGUUCCAUCAGUUUUGGAAACUCUCAUUUUGUGACUAAUGCUUCAUCAACGGAACAUGGCACUGACUUGCUAAUAGACUGAGCCUCCUUCAGUUUCAAAAUUUCUGCCCUAAUCUGCUGUUGAAAACAAAUGCUGGCAGUUGAGGCACUGGAAGAGAAACAGA
rnacentral:misc_RNA from 1 species